rnacentral:rRNA from 1 species
UACGGGGGGGGCAAGCGUUGUUCGGAAUUACUGGGCGUAAAGGGCUCGUAGGUGGCCAACUAAGUCAGACGUGAAAUCCCUCGGCUCAACCGAGGAACUGCGUCCGAUACUGGUGGGCUUGAAUCCGGGAGAGGGAUGUGGAAUUCCAGGUGUAGCGGUGAAAUGCGUAGAUAUCUGGAGGAACACCGGUGGCGAAGGCGGCAUCCUGGACCGGUAUUGACGCUGAGGCGCGAAAGCCAGGGGAGCAAACGGG